rnacentral:rRNA from 1 species
UUGUACGAGCUCGGAUCCACUAGUAACGGCCGCCAGUGUGCUGGAAUUCGGCUUACAAGUACCGUGGGGAAAGUUGCAAAGCACUUUGAAGAGAGAGUUAAAGAGAACGUGAAACCGAUGAGAUCGAAACGGAUAGAGUCAGCGUAUCUGACCUGUAUUCAGUCACACAUCUGUCAGUCGUCAUGUGUUGAUUUCCAGACUGGGACAGUGUGUGGCUAGCUGAUUGUUGUGUGGUGCAUUUGCAGGUGGAGUGCGUCGAGACGCUCGGUGUGGCGACAUGAGCUCAGUUUUGAGGCCAGCUUGCUGGUACCCGAAUUGGAGGAAUGUUGUUCACGCUGAGUGAAAUUGGCAAGGCCUACGAGUCCGGUUGGGCAUCGAGCUGGCAGUCGGCGUCGGUCGCAUGCGACACGUGCUGUGCAGUCAGUUCGGUCCUAGUCGAGCUCACAAGCCUAUUCUCGGCGUAAAAGCUGGUCAUCUAUCCGACCCGUCUUGAAACACGGACCAAGGAGUUUAUCGUGUGCGCAAGUCAUUGGGCGUUGAAAACCCAAAGGCGCAAUGAAAGUGAACGCAUCCGCAAGGAGCUGACGUGCGAUCCCGGGUACUGCGGUGCCCGAGCGCAGCAUGGCCCCAUCCCGAUUGCUUGCAAUGGGGUGGAGGAAGAGCGUACGCGGUGAGACCCGAAAGAUGGUGAACUAUUCCUGAGCAGGAUGAAGCCAGAGGAAACUCUGGUGGAAGUCUGAAGCGAUUCUGACGUGCAAAUCGAUCGUCUGACUUGGGUAUAGGGGCGAAAGACUAAUCGAACCAUCUAGUAGCUGGUUCCUUCCGAAGCCGAAUUCUGCAGAUAUCCAUCACACUGGCGGCCGCUCGAGCAUGCAUCUAGAGGGCCCAAUUCGCCCUAUAGUGAGUCGUAUUACAAUUCACUGGCCGUCGUUUUACACGUCGUGACUGGGAAAACCCUGGCGUUACCCAACUUAAUCGCCUUGCAGCACAUCCCCUUUCGCCAGCUGGCGUAAUAGCGAAGAGGCCCGCACCGAUCGCCCUUCCCAACAGUUGCGCAGCCUGAUGGCGAUGACGCGCCCUGUAGCGCGCAUUAGCGCGGCGGGUGUGGUGUACGCGCAGCGUGACGCUACACUGCAGCGCCUAGCGCCGCCCCUUUCGCUUUCUUCCUUCUUUUUCGCACGUUUCGCCGGGCUUUCCGGU